GUCUUUAAUAAUAUAAUAUAGUAUACUGUUUUGCAAAAACAUAAGAUUUUUUAAAAAAUAAAGACU
rnacentral:tRNA from 1 species